ACGGGUGAGUAACACGUGGGCAAUCUGCCCUUCACUCUGGGACAAGCCCUGGAAACGGGGUCUAAUACCGGAUACGACUACCGAGGGCAUCCUUGGUGGUGGAAAGCUCCGGCGGUGAAGGAUGAGCCCGCGGCCUAUCAGCUUGUUGGUGAGGUAAUGGCUCACCAAGGCGACGACGGGUAGCCGGCCUGAGAGGGCGACCGGCCACACUGGGACUGAGACACGGCCCAGACUCCUACGGGAGGCAGCAGUGGGGAAUAUUGCACAAUGGGCGAAAGCCUGAUGCAGCGACGCCGCGUGAGGGAUGACGGCCUUCGGGUUGUAAACCUCUUUCAGCAGGGAAGAAGCGAAAGUGACGGUACCUGCAGAAGAAGCGCCGGCUAACUACGUGCCAGCAGCCGCGGUAAUACGUAGGGCGCAAGCGUUGUCCGGAAUUAUUGGGCGUAAAGAGCUCGUAGGCGGCUUGUCACGUCGAUUGUGAAAGCCCGAGGCUUAACCUCGGGUCUGCAGUCGAUACGGGCUAGCUAGAGUGUGGUAGGGGAGAUCGGAAUUCCUGGUGUAGCGGUGAAAUGCGCAGA
rnacentral:rRNA from 1 species